rnacentral:rRNA from 1 species
UGGUUAAACAAGGAAGGGCGCACGGUGGAUGCCUUGGCACUAGGCGCCGAUGAAGGACGGGACGAACACCGAUAUGCUUCGGGGAGCUGUAAGUAUGCUUGGAUCCGGAGAUGUCCGAAUGGGGGAACCCCUUCUCCGUCAUGGGAGAAGAUCAUCUGCCCAACUAAUUAAGCAGAUGAAGGCAGACCCGGCGAACUGAAACAUCUUAGUAGCCGGAGGAAGAGAAAGCAAACGCGAUUUCCUGAGUAGCGGCGAGCGAAACGGAAGCGAGCCCAAACCGGACGGCUUGCCGUCCGGGGUUGAAGGACACGCCAUACGGAGUGACAAAGGGGCGGCGUAGCGGAAGCGGCUUGGAACGGUCCGCCAUAGCAGGUAAGAGCCCUGUACGCGAAACGCUGCCCUCUCCGGCGUGGAUCCUGAGUACGGCGGGACACGAGAAACCCCGUCGGAAGCAGGGAGGCCCAUCUCCCAAGGCUAAAUACGACCUAGUGACCGAUAGUGAACCAGUACCGUGAGGGAAAGGUGAAAAGCACCCCGGGAGGGGAGUGAAAGAGAACCUGAAACCGUGUGCCUACAGGUGGUCAGAGCCCGUUCAUGGGUGAUGGCGUGCCUUUUGUAGAAUGAACCGGCGAGUGACGAUGGCGUGCGAGGUUAAGUUGAAGAGACGGAGCCGCAGCGAAAGCGAGUCUGAAGUGGGCGCGAAGUACGUCGACGUCGACCCGAAACCGUGUGAUCUACCCAUGUCCAGGGUGAAGGUCGGGUAACACCGACUGGAGGCCCGAACCCACGUAAGUUGAAAAUUACGGGGAUGAGGGGUGGGUAGGGGUGAAAUGCCAAUCGAACACGGAGAUAGCUGGUUCUCCCCGAAAUAGCUUUAGGGCUAGCCUCGGAGGAAGAGUCCUGGAGGUAGAGCACGGAUUGGAUGAGGGGUCCCCACAGGAUUACCGAGUUCAGUCAAACUCCGAAUGCCAGCGACUUGGUUUCCGGGAGUCAGACGGCGAGUGCUAAGAUCCGUCGUCAAGAGGGAAACAGCCCGGACCACCGGCUAAGGUCCCCAAGUAUGGAUUAAGUGGGAAAGGAUGUGGCGUUGCUUAGACAACCAGGAUGUUGGCUUAGAAGCAGCCAUCAUUGAAAGAGUGCGUAAUAGCUCACUGGUCGAGUGACGCUGCGCCGAAAAUGUACCGGGGCUAAAUCCAUCACCGAAGCCGUGGAUGUUAGAGGUGGGAAGUGAGACGUGAGAAGUGGGAAAAGGAGAUAAAGAUGAUUAAAACGUAUCGAGAUUUAAGGGUAUAUGAACUAUCAUACAAUCUCGGGAAAGAUAUUCAUCAAGUGACUCAUCAAUUCCCUGAUUAUGAAAGGUUUGAGUUAGGAAGACAGCUAAGAAGAGCUUCCACAUCGAUCCCUUUAAAUUUGGCCGAGGGAUAUGGAAAAAAGGAAUCUACGGCUGAUUUUAAGCGAUUUAUAUUGAUUGCUUUAGGGUCAUGUAAUGAGGUCCAAGUUUUACUCGAAUACGCAAGGGAUUUUGCUUAUAUGUCCAAUGAUAGUUUCGAGAGACUAUGGGAUCAAUACGAACAACUAGGCAAACAACUGUCUGUUCUUCAUCAAAAGUGGAAGUAGUUGGUUUUGAAUUUCUCACACCUCUCACAUCUGACCUCUCACCUCUAGCAUGGUAGGGGAGCGUUCGGUGUGCCGGGAAGGCCGACCGUGAGGACGGCUGGAGCGCACCGAAGUGAGAAUGCCGGUAUGAGUAGCGAAAAGAAGGGUGAGAAUCCCUUCCGUCGAAAACCUAAGGUUUCCUGAGGAAGGCUCGUCCGCUCAGGGUUAGUCGGGACCUAAGCCGAGGCCGAAAGGCGUAGGCGAUGGAUAACUGGUGGAAAUUCCAGUACCACCGAUGGCUGUCAGACCGAAGGGGGGACGCAGAAAGGUAGGGCGAGCGCGCUGAUGGAGAAGCGCGUCGAAGCGACCGAGGCUGUUGGGCAGGCAAAUCCGCCCAACGUGAAGGCUGAGGCGUGACCGCGAGGGAAAUGAAGUACCGAAGUCCCCGAUCCUCCGCUGCCGAGAAAAGCCUCUAGGAAGGGCAUCGGUGCCCGUACCGCAAACCGACACAGGUAGGUGGGAUGAGAAUUCUAAGACGCGCGGGAGAACUCUCGUUAAGGAACUCGGCAAAAUGACCCCGUAACUUCGGGAGAAGGGGUGCUCCUUGGGGUUGAUAGCCCCGGGGAGCCGCAGUGACAAGGCCCAAGCGACUGUUUACCAAAAACACAGGUCUCUGCGAAGUCGAAAGACGAAGUAUAGGGGCUGACACCUGCCCGGUGCUGGAAGGUUAAGAGGAGGGCUUAGCGCUUAGGCGCGAAGGUCCGAAUUGAAGCCCCAGUAAACGGCGGCCGUAACUAUAACGGUCCUAAGGUAGCGAAAUUCCUUGUCGGGUAAGUUCCGACCCGCACGAAAGGUGCAACGACUUGGGCACUGUCUCAACGAGAGACCCGGUGAAAUUAUAUGACCUGUGAAGAUGCAGGUCCCCCGCGACUGGACGGAAAGACCCCAUGGAGCUUUACUGUAGCUUGAUAUUGGGUUUUCGUAUCGCUUGUACAGGAUAGGCAGGAGCCAAGGAACCCGGAGCGCCAGCUUCGGAGGAGGCGCCGGUGGGAUACUGCCCUUGCGAUAUGAACAUCCUAACCUCGAACCGUGAGCCGGUUCAGGGACAGUGUCUGGUGGGCAGUUUGACUGGGGCGGUCGCCUCCCAAACAGUAACGGAGGCGCCCCAAGGUUCCCUCAGAAUGGUUGGAAAUCAUUCGCAGCGUGCAAAGGCAGAAGGGAGCUUGACUGCGAGACAGACAGGUCGAGCAGGGACGAAAGUCGGGCUUAGUGAUCCGGCGGCACCGCAUGGAAGGGCCGUCGCUCAACGGAUAAAAGCUACCCUGGGGAUAACAGGCUAAUCUCCCCCAAGAGUCCACAUCGACGGGGAGGUUUGGCACCUCGAUGUCGGCUCAUCGCAUCCUGGGGCUGAAGUCGGUCCCAAGGGUUGGGCUGUUCGCCCAUUAAAGCGGUACGCGAGCUGGGUUCAGAACGUCGUGAGACAGUUCGGUCCCUAUCCGUCGCGGGCGCAGGAAAUUUGAGAGGAGCUGUCCUUAGUACGAGAGGACCGGGAUGGACACACCGCUGGUGUACCAGUUGUUCCGCCAGGAGCAUGGCUGGGUAGCUACGUGUGGAUCGGAUAAGUGCUGAAAGCAUCUAAGCACGAAGCCGGCCUCAAGAUGAGAUUUCCCGAGAGACCCCUUAAAGACGAUAAGGUAGAUAGGUCUGAGGUGGACGCGUGGCGACACGUGGAGCUGACAGAUACUAAUCGGUCCAACGGUUUAUCCAC